UCAUCUCCUCCUUAUAACCCCACGUUUACCCAUUCUUACCAUUUAUCUUCAAAAGAAUGUAUAUCAUAUAUAUGUUGACAGCAAAAUAAAAGGGGAAGCCAAAAUUAGAGUGGGAGUCACGGAGAGGGAGAGUCCGAACCAAAGGGAGCCAGAGGAUGAGAAGGAGAGGACAGGGGAAGGGAAGGAAGAGGCGUUGCGGGUGAUGAACACAGCCACCGUCGCCGCUUUCUGACCGCCACACCACUAAACCCUAGCCGUUAUAGAGGAGAGGGUGAUCGAAGUAGAGAAGCACCGCGUGAAGGAGGGAAGUUCCAUUGCCAGCGCCGCUUUUAGGGGAAGCCGCUACCACCGCAGCGGGGGAAACGAACAUGGGAGAAGAGGUUUCGUUGAUGCUGUCACAGAGGAAGAGGACGAGACGUGUGUGAGAGAGUGACGCACCGAGGAGGGACCAUUCCUCUGCCGCUGCCGCUGCCGCUGCCGGAAUCUUUGGUCGCCGCCAUCAAUAGUGGUGAGUCAGUUAAACCCUAGCCAUGAGAACCACCAUCUUUGAACCUUUACUGCUCUGUAAAUACCCAGUAUCUACCCCUGAUGCUCUUGACUAUGUUAUGUUUGUUGGAGCUUGUCUCCAUGGAACCACCGCGGGGUGCUGCUAGGAAUCGCUGCUGCCCUGCUUCCGCUAUACUUAGGUUCAACAUCCAUUGGCCUGGAGCCGCUUCUGCUUUCGAUUCUAUUGAAUUUGAAAUCUUCGCUUCGUUGCAACCAUGAUCACUGUUGUGGGAGCUAACGCCGCUGCUAUCUUGAUUGAGACUGUUGCAUAGCUAGUAUUGGUCCAGCCAGCUGCCUCGCUAUAAUCCAGCCUCCGGGUUCUUUUAAUCGCGACAUCGAGUGACACAGGUUUGAAGACGCAAUUUGAAGCUGCGAGCGAUUAGUAGGUUUUCUUUAUGGUUUUAAUUGCUUUCAUAGAGUCCCCUCGCUCUUUUCCUUUGAAGUUUUAUUUUAUCAGAGGGGUAGGUGUUGUAUUUGGGUUUAUAUGACUUCUUAUGUAUAAGAGUUACUAUUAAUAAUACUUAUAUGAUUGUUAUUAUUAUGUGCAAUGCUCAUCUUUGAUACAUGUCUUGAAUGAAUAAAAAAAAAAAAAAGAACAAAUUUUCUGGAAUUUUCUUAAAACUAAAACGCGAACUCGAUACAAAGGCUUGAUAAUUAAGUAGUUAAUAUUAGAAAAGGUCACGUAACGUUCUUUCUAGUAGAAAUACCCUGACUUAAGCAAGGUAUUUUGCUGGAAGGAAUGUUACAAUAUGGUAUCAGAGCAGUCUUUCCUGUAGAGCCUUGGGAGUGGACUGACUAUGCUUCAUUGCAUACUCUGAGUGUCUGUCAUGCUUUCUAACUUGUUCUGAUGACAAGAGUUUGUGUUUUAUAUGCAUGACUGUCUGAUGAAUAACGCUAUUAGUUUACCUUUGCAUACCUCAUGGUAUCAAGUUUGGCCAACUUAAUACUAAUGAUUUAUGUAAUUGGGAAUACUAAUGGGUUAUCAUAGACGAAAUAGAAGUGAUAGGUUAAUGCGAAUCACGAGGUUUUGGGGACGUUAGAAACUAAGUUCUAGAGAUUAGUUCCGUUUCGACGUAUCCUCUUUAUUCGUGCUUAGCGUUAUUUCUUUCUCACCAAUUGCAUUGGAAUUUCUAGUUUCUGAUUUCUUUCUUGCUAACCUUGUAUUAUCAUUCGUGCAUGUCCUUGCUUGACUCUGUAUCUGGUCGUUGCUUGAAUCUUUUGGAAUAUUUAUUCUCACCUUACAAACUCUAUGCUCCUUGCUCUGAACUUGGAUUCAUUUUAGUGUAACAUACCAUUUCUUGAAAUUUCCUUCUUGGGUACUUGUUUCAGAUUCUCUUCGAGAAAAAUUUCAAUUUACAUCUUUUCUUAUUUGACUGUAUCCACAACCCUUACUUAAAUUUUGAUGGGAUUGUUUUUAAUUCAGUUUAGACUUUCUUACAUAAACUCUGAAGCUUCUUUAAGUAGUUUAAUCUUGUUUAUCUGCGACAUACCACUUAUCUUUUAUUGAUUUAUAGAAAAUUUUAUUUCAGAAUUUAUUCUUUAAAUAGAAGCUGAUUUUCUACCAUCUUUACUAUAAUUCUAUGGCUAUCCAUACCUAAUUAUGUACUUAAGUAUCCUCCGAGAUUUUUAAAGAAAAUAUUUUGCCUUUAACAUCAAACAAGCUUCAACUUACAAACUUCACCUGAUUUGUUUUGAUUUGAAAUUAAAUUAGCAUAACAUAUUAUUUAUACUUAGUUUAGCAUUUUUGGAAAAUGUUGGAUUUAAAUAUUUUCUUUUGAAAAAGAUAAACUAAUUCCCUCUAUUUCAAAUUGAAGUUGUUCAAAAUUGUUGUACUAUUUUUCCUAUGAUGUUCAUAUUGAAAUUGUUCGAUUCAAAAUUUCUUCCUAAGCCUUGAAUUAAUUCCCUUUAUUCUCCAUUUCAUUGUUUAUAUAUAUCCUUGUUUGUUGAUGAUUUCACGUUUUCCUUCAAAUCCUGGCGAAAUACCAUCAUGUUCAACUGAGAACUUGAGUAUUCUUCCAAUUUCUCACAUAAACCUUUCAUGCCGUUUGUCUUUCUCUUCCCAUGUUUCGUAUUCCUUAUAUACACUAGUUCUUAGGGACACGAUUUGUGCAUACGGAAAGUGAAUCUGGUCAGUAUACGAAGUUAUAAGGAGUUGUGGAAUUUUGAGGCGACGAGAGGAAGUGAUCAUGCUUUGUUAAAAGUUGUGAACGAAUAUGCUUUGUUAAAAGUUGUGAACGAAUACUGUGCCUAUUUGAUUUUGGAUUUUAAAAUUUUUCUUAUGUUAAGUUAUUUUAUCAACUCUAGCAUUACCUAGUAUAUUUUCUUCUAUGUUUAUGUGAUAUGAUUUUCUUGGAGCCUUUAAGAUAUUCAAAAGGGGAUGUGAAUAUAAAUCUUUUCUUCAUUUUAUAUCAAUUUUCGAGGGCGAAAAUUUUUGUAAGUUGGAUAGAAUGUAACAUCCCGCAUUUUUGAAAAAUCUAAAUAUAAAUAAAUUGUGAUUUUACUUUAUUGAGUUUAAACUUUAUAAUUUUAGAAAUUAUUUUAUUAGAGAUAAUUAAAUAGAU